CCCCUAGAUGUUCUGGGCCGCACGCGCGCUACACUGAACAGUUCAACAAGUCUUAACCUUGGCCGAUAGGUCUGGGUAAUCUUUGAACGCUGUUCGUGAUUGGGAUAGACCUUUGCAAUUAUGGGUCUUCAACGAGGAAUUCCUAGUAAACGCAAGUCAUCAGCUUGCAUUGAUUACGUCCCUGCCCUUUGUACACACCGCCCGUCGCACCUACCGAUUGAAUGGUCCGGUGAAGCGUUCGGACCGUGGCCUUUGGACGGUUCGCCGUCUGUUGGCUGCGGGAAGUUCGUUAAACCUUAUCAUUUAGAGGAAGGAGAANUCGUANCA
rnacentral:rRNA from 1 species